rnacentral:ncRNA from 2 species
CUAUCAUCGAGAAAGGUGGAGGGACUGGCCCUGAGAAACCUUGGCAACCGUCAAUUCAUAAUGAAGUAUGAACGGUGCCAAUUCCAUCCCGGUAUAAAGGUCGGGAAAGAUGAUGG